GAUGUCAAACAACUAUCCUGAUGUGAACUCCUUACAGAUGAGCCCUGGGAGAAAGCUGCCUUAGGCAGUGCUACAUCUUAGAGUUAUGAGUGCAACUGCAUCUUGACUGGGAAUCACCUCGCUGCUGAUCCAGUCCUGGUCUUCUCACGAGCACAGUGACAAUUAUGGGACACAGACAAAAGAGGAAGCAAAUUACUGGUACAAUUCAAGUUCACUUUGAUUUACUGUAUUAAGCAGGAAAUGGCUGAGGACUGACUAGGUGAAGCAUCAUCCAUGCUCUGCUGUGAAUCUCCAAAGUUGAUAUCAGCUAGUGUGUUUGAGCUAACAGUCCCCAGUUCUACAUGUCAGGUGACAGGACGUUCUCAGAGGCAGGCUUUGG